rnacentral:rRNA from 1 species
AUUGAACGCUGGCGGCAGGCCUAACACAUGCAAGUCGAGCGGAGCGGCGGACGGGUGAGUAAUGCCUAGGAAUCUGCCUGGUAGUGGGGGAUAACGUCCGGAAACGGGCGCUAAUACCGCAUACUAUCAGAUGAGCCUAGGUCGGAUUAGCUAGUUGGUGGGGUAAAGGCCUACCAAGGCGACGAUCCGUAACUGGUCUGAGAGGAGUAUCAGUCACACUGGAACUGGGAAACGUUCCAGACUGCUAGGGAAGGCAUCAGUGGGGAAUAUUGGACAAGGGGCGAAAGCCUGAUCAAGCCAGGCCGCGUGUGUGAAGAGGGUUUUCGGAUUUGAAGCACUUUAAGUUGGGAGGCGUUACCAACAGAAUAAGCACCGGCUAACUUCGUGCCAGCAGCCGCGUAAUAC